UCCAGCAUGGUGUAGUGGUUUUAGCAUUGGACUAAGACUCUGGACACCAGGGUUCAAAUCCCAGUUCAGCCA